ensembl:lncRNA
GCCAGGAAAAAAAAAAAAGAUGCUGCUCAGAAAUCCAUUUGCGGGAAGUUUGAAGUUUGAAGACCUCCAGCUGCAGACUGGCGGCCUGGGUGGUCGAGCGGGGUGGGACGGGUGUCCUCGAGUGGAAGGAGAGUGGAGCCUGGGGCCGCUGGGGAGCAAGGCCAGGAGGGUAGCAGCUGCGUGUCAGGGCAGUGGUGGAUCUGUCAUCCGACAGACCUGGGUUCAAGUCUUGCCCCUUUCCUGAGCUAGCUGCAAGAUCUUGGGCAAGUUCCUUAGCCUCUCUAAACCUCAGUUUAUGUAUCUGUAAAAUGGAGAUAAUGCUUCAUUGGUUAUUAAGAGAAUUACCUAAGACAAUAUUUGUAAAGCUCUUGGCACAGUGCUUGGUACAAUCAGGGGAGGUGGUUGUUGCUGUUACUAUUAAUAACAAGGUGGUACCAAGGGUGCCCCCCGAGUCUCCAUGAGCACCUCCCAAAGAUACCCCAAAUAAACACAAAAUCCAUGCAAAAAUAGUAUGUUUCUAGACAAGUUCCCAACCCCCUUCUAUGCAGGUGGCCACCUUAAGCCCCUGCUGUUCAGAAAUUUUGGAGCCAUCACUGACUAAUAUUGAUACAGAUAUUUCAAAAUGAUUGGCCAUUUUCCAAAUAUUAGGCAGCUCUGGGUGGGAAAGGACCCUGGACCAGGGUACAUGAUUCUUGGUUCAGGGAGGAGGCAGAUGGGGGCCAGUUACACACUCACCUGGGGUGGUAAAAGGUGGGACAGGUGGAAAGUCUGUAGAGAGAAGCAGAAAUUGGGGCCCAGGAUGGUUUCCCACACUCUGCCCUAAUGAUCAUUAGAAAAAGAAGCCAGGGGAAUGUAUGUCAUCGGUGGGAAACCUCGGGGGUCUGUGUCCCUCUAUUUUUGUAUACGUGACAUGGUGCUGCUUGUCUGCUGACAGUUUUACUCCAUCUUACAGAAAAGGGGUGGCUCCCUAAUUUAUCCCAGAUAUCACAACUGGGAAGGAGCAGAGAUGGGACUCAAACCCAGGGCUGUGCCCCACCCUCCCGAAAUAUGUUCUUUCAGAAACACACCCUUCUCAGUUUCCAGGAGAGCCAGGUGGAUGGGUUGGGGGGACAUGCCACAUCUUGAUAUUCAGGCAUUGAGAGCUCAGAGACCUCAGCUGGGAAUGGUGGUCUAAGUAUUCUCAGAAUGUCAUCAGGACCCAGCUAUGAAGAAAAGCACCUGAGGAUUUUGGGGUCCCACAUGGUCUAGGCCUCGCAGGGCCCUGUGGGUCUGUUCAUGACUGUUGUCCUCACUGUGGCAGGACAGUGCCCUGAAGGCACGAUUUCUCUAGGAAAUCCUCCUCAGCCAACCCCUGCUCCACCUGCUGGAUGAAUGGAAGUAUCAUGAAGGCAUGGAUCUUGUCAACUGGUGUUGAAUCUCCUGUGCCCAGUACAGACCUGGCUAGGAUGGGGACGCAAUAGGUAGUUAUUCAAUGAUUGAAUGAAUGAAUAAAUUCAAAUUGGGUUUUCACAACAGUUGGGUGAAUUAGGUGCUGUCGCUCUCCCAUUUUCUGGAAUAGGGAGAUAAGGCUUCAUGAGAUGAAGUGAUGGGCCCAUAUUACUCAGCUGGUAGGGGCCAGGGGUGGGAUUUGAGCCCCCACACUACAUAGGUCAGGUGGGCAUGGGCGUCCCCUGGUUGCAAUGUGUGUGGGUAGACCCCGGCACGCGUAAGAGCGGUGUGCGAGCAGCAGUCAUUUCAUUGCAUGUGGCAUGUCAAGAUGGAAAAGCUUUGCAGGAAUUUUGCUUUAUAGGCAUAUAAAGGCCUUUAUUACCCAUAAUGUGGACGUGGGUCCGAAGAGGAUUCUACUCUGCUUUCUACCAAGGGGUUUGUUGGAGGCCCCUGUGGAGGCUGGAGCUCCUGGCCCUACUCUGAGGAGCCUGGACCCCAGGGAGGAGGAAAUGCUGGCUACGGGCAGGGCCUGGGGCCUGGGGCGGCUUUCUAUCUGUGGCACAGGAUGGAGUGGCAGCAUCCCUGGGGUGAAAUGCAGGCUUAAGCUGCCUCAGUGGGAAAUGUGACGUUAUGUAGCUCAUUAAAUUCUACAGGAGCACGGAGGAGAGCUGCUUCCAAUUAUCAGGAUGAAAAUUAAUGGAAUAAAACCUCUAGCCAGGCGGCCCAAUGGUGGAGCAGGGACCGCUUUUGCUGUGUGGUCAGGAUUGGCCUGGCAGUGCUGGGGCAGUCACAUGGCAAGCCAAAGGAGGAAGCACAAAUGUCUGCAAAUGUUUGGGCUGGGCAAGGGGUCCCUGCUAAUCCUCACAGCUUUGUCCCUUUUGCCCAGAUCAGGAAGGGAAAUGGGGCCGAGCAGGAAGCUGGACCAGGCACCUGGACCAGGCUUGGACCUCAGAGACCUGAGACAGGAGGAGGCCCCUUGGCACCGUGGCCAGCCUCCAGGGCUGAAGGAGAUGUUGGAUUUGGCCUCCUGCAGAGGUGACGUGGAGCCAUGGGCUGCCAGUGAGCUUCAGACCAGGGGCAAAGCUGGGAUGGAACUUGGGCUUACAUUUGAGCCUUUGCCUGAAAACCUUGUCCUCAGGUGACUUGGUGAAGCUCAGGCAUCAUGACUGUGAAGGGGCAGCCCCAAAAUGGACUUGAUUCGGGGGGCCGGCCCGUUGGCGCAGUGGUUAGGCUCACACGUUCUACUUCGGCGGCCUGGGGUUUGCUGGUUUGGAUCCCUGGUGUGGACAUGGCACAGCUUGUCAAGCCAUCCUGUGGUAGGCAUCCCAAAUAUGAAG